AGCCCAUAAACUAGCCCCAACAAUAAAUAAAAACAACUAACCCAUAUUAAUAAACCCAAAUACACCAACCCCUAAACCAAACCAAACCAUUUUCCCUCCCUAGUAUGGGCGACAGAAAAGGAAAUGCGGAGCAAUAGAAAAAGUACCGCAAGGGAAAGUUGAAAGAGAAGUGAAACAAACCAGUAAAGCCUGAGUAAGCAGAGACUUAAACUCGUACCUUUUGCAUCAUGAUUUAGCCAGUAAUAUAUAAGCAAAAAGCCAUUAUAGUUUAAUACCCCGAAACUACGUGAGCUACUCCAAGACAACCUACAAAUAGGGUAAACCCGUCCCUGUGGCAAAAGGGUGGGAAGAUCUUUGAGUAGAGGUGAUAGACCUACCGAACCUAGUUAUAGCUGGUUGCCUGAGAAUUGGAUAGAAGUUCAGCCCCUCAGUUUCUUAACUCACCCCAGUUUAAACCCCUCCUGAUAAAUAAAGAAAUCGAGAGAGUUAGUCAAAGGGGGUACAGCCCCUUUGAAAAAAGACACAACUUUUUCAGAAGGAUAAAGAUCAUAAUAAAUAAGGUAACAUGUUCUGGUGGGCCUAAAAGCAGCCACCCAUGCAGAAAGCGUUAAAGCUCAAACAUACUACUCCACCCCAUUAUCCCGACAAUUUAAUCUUAAUCCCCUAGCUCUAUCAGGCCUUCCCAUGUCUACAUGGGAGUGACCAUGCUAAUAUGAGUAAUAAGAAAGUUAAAGACUCUCUCCCUGCACAUGUGUAAAUCGAAAUGGACCAACCAUCGAACCUUAACGGCCCCAAGCAAAGAGGGCAAUGAACAACAAAUCAAAUAACCAGAAAAUCAUCCAACAUUACACCGUUAACCCUACACUGGCGUGCCCCCAAGGAAAAACUAAAAGGAAAAGAAGGAACUCGGCAAACACACUAUUCAAGCCUCGCCUGUUUACCAAAAACAUCGCCUCUUGCAAAACUAAAAAAUAAGAGGUCCCGCCUGCCCUGUGACUAUACGUUUAACGGCCGCGGUAUUUUGACCGUGCGAAGGUAGCGCAAUCACUUGUCUUUUAAAUGGAGACCUGUAUGAAUGGCACAACGAGGGCUUAACUGUCUCCUUUUCCAAGUUAAUGAAAUUGAUCUCCCCGUGCAGAAGCGGGGAUACGACCAUAAGACGAGAAGACCCUAUGGAGCUUUAGACACCUAGCCGCAAGUUUUGUCCAAAAACCCUAAAUAAAAGACCAAACAACUAAACCUGCCAUAAUGUCUUUGGUUGGGGCGACCAUGAGGAAACAAAAAACCCUCACGUGGAUUAGGAAAAAAUCCCCAGAACUAAGAGCCCCUGCUCUAACUAACAGAAUUUCUGACCACUCAGAUCCGGCAAUGCCGAUUAACGAACCGAGUUACCCUAGGGAUAACAGCGCAAUCCCCUUCUAGAGCCCAUAUCGACAAGGGGGUUUACGACCUCGAUGUUGGAUCAGGACAUCCUAAUGGUGCAGCCGCUAUUAAGGGUUCGUUUGUUCAACGAUUAAAGUCCUACGUGAUCUGAGUUCAGACCGGAGUAAUCCAGGUCAGUUUCUAUCUAUGAUAUGAUCUUUCCUAGUACGAAAGGACCGGAAAGAAGAGGUCCAUGUUUCAAACACACCUCCCCCCUACCUAAUGAAAACAACUAAAAUAGGCAAAGGGGCAUGCCCCUUUUCGCCUAAGAAAACGGCAAU
rnacentral:rRNA from 1 species